CGCGGUUUGAGCUCAAAUCAGCGUGUCAUGCGCAGAAACUCAAGCAAAUGUGCAGUUGGACGAGAUUUUAGCGGUUUAUUUAAAUUUAUUAGGAAGGAUUAAGUGAAUUUCAGAAUUUGAAUUGGAAUGAAGAGAAGUAUUUCACCCUGGCGUGCCUAAUCGUACAUGACUUUGAGGAGACGACGCGCGCUACAAUCCCAGCACGUCGUAUUUGAAUAUGGACAGAAACAGAUCAGACAUUAGCAACUGCUAUUGAUCCUCAAAUAGGGGCCGAGCUGUCUGUUUUCAACGCCGCUGCCCGGUCGAUCCCAUCUGACCUACUGUUCACAAGGUAAAAAAAAGAAAACAAAACGGGGAAGAUUCUGCUCAUAAUUGGGUUGCGGCAGCAGUUGCUAUUUUCAUCGA